rnacentral:lncRNA from 1 species
GUCUGCCGCUGCGUAAUGCGCCAAUGUGCCUUCGUCGCCGUGCGCCCGCCCCCUCUCGCUCCGCCGUCCAAUCCGGAGCCUGCGAUUUUGGAGCAGCCAGGAAAGACCUUGCCAGGGCGAUAUUACCCCGUGUGUGUGUGUACAUUCUGGUCUGUAGCAUCAUCCCGGGAAUCUCAACACACUCCGCUGGGGCUUCAUUGAACCACGCUCGGACCGAGGGAAGCGGACGCCAGAGGAGCUCGCAGCAGUGUGUAGAGGCCGCGAGACGAAAGAGGAGGAAGAGGAGGAGGUGGAGCCGGCGAGAUCGUUGGACCAAAGGCUGAAUACGUGUGCGUCAUAACGGGGCAACAGCCGAGGACCCCUGGGUGCUGCUGUACUGCUACUGCUGACAAGGUGACUUUGGGACAGAGGGAGGAGAGACGAGGGGAGAGGGCGGGUAGAGGAGAUGCAAAUAUGUCCGCCGUUAAUGUAUGGCUCACAUAUGGGCAGGUGAGAGGAGGUGAAGACGAGGAGAAGUCGAGAGCGUCAUUUGCAUACAGGAUAAACUGGGUUAGUGUUUGCGGCGCGCCUACGUUUAUGUCGUAAGGCGUCUCCUCACUUUUCGAAAUGUCCCGGAAACAUUCAGUGAACUCUUCGCUCAUCUCUGAUUGACAGCGUGUAGUGCUUUUUGUGGCGGAUUGUUUUCCUUUGCGCGAGCCUCUUUCCUCUUUACACAAAAGGUCAUUUAUUAUACACUCAAUCCAGGCUUUUGAAACUACUUUAGGACACCAUAGCCUUGAUACAUUUGCAGUACAUGUUAUAUUAUAUUUUCCAACUACAAAAGUACAAAAACAUUACUCAAGUCGCUGGAAGUGCACGAGUUGUUUUGAUCAUGGUUUCAGCUUUAUAGGCUUUUUAGAUGCUUAUUCAACAACAAGUGUUGGAAAAAUACAGUAUUGUUACAUUAUAUAUUACAAAUGUAAACUCAUAUUUAGGUCGCGGCAUGUCGGUUUGGGAUGAGAACCACUGAUCUGGACUCUAUCUUAAGGACUAAUCAACCAUAGAAUGACUCUACUGCUUUUAAAGCCUGUGUUUAGCACUUUGGGCUGCAAUGGUUGUUUUAAAUGUGCUUUAUACAAACGUUUGACUUGUGUUGACUUGAGGAGGUCGAUUUUGGCAAGAUCUAAGACUUUUAUCUUUUCAUCACAUUUUUCAUGGUCAUGUUCAACCACUUUUUAAAGCACAGGUACAAAAUAAAAUAAAACAAGUUCAAAACGGAGCAGGGUGAAGUACGAACUUAUGAGCCACUGAAUUACAGUUCACUGUAAAAUAUUCAUAGCUUUCUUCAAAUGUCCUUAUUACAUUGUAAAGAGAGAAUAACAAAAUAAUUUCAUUACUUAAAUACAUAUUUAUAUGAAUUGAUGAUGCUAUACUAUAAACUUGUAGUGUCCUGAACAGAACUUCUUCACUUCUCUUGACUAAUGCUGCUACUUUCUUUAAUAGUUUCAGGCAGUUUAUUCCACAACUUAAUCCCACUAAUCGAUACAUUGAGGCGCUCACACAGGUUCUAUAUAUAUUGCUUCCCCUUUGGAAAAUAUUUUUUGUAUAUGUGCC